UUUUCAUUCCUGGGCUACCUUUUGGUCUUAAAGGCAACAUAACCAGUCUUGCAAAUUUCAAUCUUUAUAAAUUGAAAAAUGUAACAUGCUAUAUUUGACCCUGUAACUUUUCAAAACACCAUAAAACCUAUACAUGGGGGGUACUGUUUUACUUGUGAGACAACGCUGAAUACAAAUGUGUGUACUUUAUUGCAGUAACAGCUAUCAGUAUUAUGACACAGUUUAAAUG